AAGUCAUUGUGUUAAAAUCAUCGUCUUGAUGAAUCUGCUGAGUCUGUGCCUGCAUGAGUACGAGGAGACUCCCUGGGAUGCGCCGAAUUAUCUCAUUGCUGGGGUCGUCUAUGGAGGUCAUGUCACUGAUGACUGGGACAGACGUCUUCUAACUACAUACAUCAAUGACUGCUUCUGUGAUGCUGCCAUCACGCAGCCCUUCUUCAAAGAUGCUGGAGGAAGAGAUCCAGGGCUCAGUGGUGAUGUCAUCCAUCUUGAAAGAGACCUUCAUCUGCACGUAUAACGACCCUGGACCAAGACUGUGGGAGAAGUCUUUGUACCACUGGGUGGCGACGCAGGACUUCCACUGUUUGGUAAAGUCCAGAUGAGAAGACAGCAGAAAGAUGCC